AUGACCCUUAUUGGCCUGUUCAAUGGGAACUGCAGUGUGCUCAUCAUCUUCUCAGCAACAGAGAAAAAGCAAUACAGUAUCCUACUUCAAUUUCCUACUCGGAGCAGCCCACCGAACUGGAGCAUUGUUUCCUCCUUUCAGCUGUUCUGAUUAAAGAAAGUGUGGAGAUACUUUUAAAGUAAGACAUUUCUACAGGUGGAAAAAGCAACCAAGAAUGAUGUUCCGUGUCCUUAUACAGCAGGAAUCGAAAGAGGAAAAUCACAUGGUGCAUCAAAUUAACAGUAUACCUGUGGAAAGAAUCUAGUGGGCCAUAGGAAACAGUUUUUCCAAAUACUGCUGAGAUUGUAUCUCCUUAUGGGAGAAUUCUGUGUGUUGUGUGUUUGAUGUCCAUCUUAUUACACAAUUAAAAAAUCUUUACUUCAAUAUUGUAGCUGGUUUUAAUAUAUUUUGGGGUGCUG
rnacentral:lncRNA from 11 species